rnacentral:rRNA from 1 species
AGAGUUUGAUCCUGGCUCAGGAUGAACGCUAGCUACAGGCUUAACACAUGCAAGUCGAGGGGAAACGACAUCGAAAGCUUGCUUUUGAUGGGCGUCGACCGGCGCACGGGUGAGUAACGCGUAUCCAACCUGCCCACCACUUGGGAGUAACCUUGCGAAAGUAAGACUAAUACCCAACUGAUAUCUCUAGAAGACAUCUGAAAGAGAUUAAAGAUUUAUCGGUGAUGGAUGGGGAUGCGUCUGAUUAGCUUGGUUGGCGGGGUAACGGCCACCAAGGCGACGAUCAGUAGGGGUUCUGAGAGGAAGGUCCCCACAUUGGAACUGAGACACGGUCCAAACUCCUACGGGAGGCA